UUUCCCUUUCUCCAGAUGUUCUUUUAUCUACUGGAAUACUCCUUACUUAUUAGACUGCCUGUGUGUAGGAUGUUAGUUUCUAUGUUCCUUCUUCCUUGUUCAGAAUAACCCAUCUUGUUUUAAUUUAUUACCCCCCACAUUCCAUUUCACUCCUGCUUUGUUUUGUAAUAAAAGACCAGUUCUGAUGCAGAGAGUCAGAACACAUGGUAAACACCUUGGAGAAGUGGUUUGCUAUGUUUUCUCCUUUUGCUAAAGACUUGAUUGAAAACUAAAACGUUGUCUGUGGUUCUCUUUUUAUGAAGGUUGAGAAAAUACCUGUCAUCUUGGUGUCGUGAUCCGGAUCUCACCACACCCGUUCGCUGACAGACGAAGAACGACGCGCUGAAAACCGUGCACAACCAGAGUCAACAGGACUUGGAAACAAAGUGCCUGGAAGUAACUUUUUCGCUGGGCCAGCGCCCUAUGUCCGACAUUGUCUGCCAACGGCGGAUUGACGAGAUCCGACCGGACAAGACGAACCAACAGAAACGAGAGGAUCUCAGUGUAGCUCCGGCUGGUUCUCCGGUACAGGUCCAGGCCUGUGAGUAGCUCAACAUCUCUGAUCCGGGCCGUGUGCAUCUUCAUCAGGUCCUCCACCCAGCGGGACUCAUCCUCAGAGCUCUGUUAGGUCUCGUCGUUGUUGGGUCGGUGUGGCAGGAUGAAAGCGGCGCUGCUCAGUGGACCAUUGCAUGAGUCUGCAGGCUGUCUGAAAUCCAGG